rnacentral:rRNA from 1 species
UUUAUGGAGAGUUUGAUCCUGGCUCAGGAUGAACGCUGGCGGCGUGCCUAAUACAUGCAAGUCGAGCGAACGGACGAGAAGCUUGCUUCUCUGAUGUUAGCGGCGGACGGGUGAGUAACACGUGGAUAACCUACCUAUAAGACUGGGAUAACUUCGGGAAACCGGAGCUAAUACCGGAUAAUAUUUUGAACCGCAUGGUUCAAAAGUGAAAGACGGUCUUGCUGUCACUUAUAGAUGGAUCCGCGCUGCAUUAGCUAGUUGGUAAGGUAACGGCUUACCAAGGCAACGAUGCAUAGCCGACCUGAGAGGGUGAUCGGCCACACUGGAACUGAGACACGGUCCAGACUCCUACGGGAGGCAGCAGUAGGGAAUCUUCCGCAAUGGGCGAAAGCCUGACGGAGCAACGCCGCGUGAGUGAUG